rnacentral:tRNA from 1 species
GGGGUUGUGGCUCAGUGGUAGAGCAUUUGCCCGUCAAGUAUGAGGCACUGGGUUCGAUCCUUAGCACCA